rnacentral:rRNA from 1 species
CAACUUGGACCGCAUGGUCCGAGUUUGAAAGAUGGCUUCGGCUAUCACUUUUGGAUGGUCCCGCGGCGUAUUAGCUAGAUGGUGAGGUAACGGCUCACCAUGGCAAUGAUACGUAGCCGACCUGAGAGGGUAAUCGGCCACAUUGGGACUGAGACACGGCCCAAACUCCUACGGGAGGCAGCAGUAGGGAAUCUUCCACAAUGGACGAAAGUCUGAUGGAGCAACGCCGCGUGAGUGAAGAAGGGUUUCGGCUCGUAAAACUCUGUUGUUAAAGAAGAACAUAUCUGAGAGUAACUGUUCAGGUAUUGACGGUAUUUAACCAGAAAGCCACGGCUAACUACGUGCCAGCAGCCGCGGUAAUACGUAGGUGGCAAGCGUUGUCCGGAUUUAUUGGGCGUAAAGCGAGCGCAGGCGGUUUUUUAAGUCUGAUGUGAAAGCCUUCGGCUCAACCGAAGAAGUGCAUCGGAAACUGGGAAACUUGAGUGCAGAAGAGGACAGUGGAACUCCAUGUGUAGCGGUGAAAUGCGUAGAUAUAUGGAAGAACACCAGUGGCGAAGGCGGCUGUCUGGUCUGUAACUGACGCUGAGGCUCGAAAGUAUGGGUAGCAAACAGGAUUAGAUACCCUGGUAGUCCAUACCGUAAACGAUGAAUGCUAAGUGUUGGAGGGUUUCCGCCCUUCAGUGCUGCAGCUAACGCAUUAAGCAUUCCGCCUGGGGAGUACGGCCGCAAGGCUGAAACUCAAAGGAAUUGACGGGGGCCCGCACAAGCGGUGGAGCAUGUGGUUUAAUUCGAAGCUACGCGAAGAACCUUACCAGGUCUUGACAUACUAUGCAAAUCUAAGAGAUUAGACGUUCCCUUCGGGGACAUGGAUACAGGUGGUGCAUGGUUGUCGUCAGCUCGUGUCGUGAGAUGUUGGGUUAAGUCCCGCAACGAGCGCAACCCUUAUUAUCAGUUGCCAGCAUUAAGUUGGGCACUCUGGUGAGACUGCCGGUGACAAACCGGAGGAAGGUGGGGAUGACGUCAAAUCAUCAUGCCCCUUAUGACCUGGGCUACACACGUGCUACAAUGGAUGGUACAACGAGUUGCGAACUCGCGAGAGUAAGCUAAUCUCUUA